GGGACAGGUGAGUAACACGUGGAUAACCUACCUAUAAGACUGGGAUAACUUCGGGAAACCGGAGCUAAUACCGGAUAAUAUUUUGAACCGCAUGGUUCAAAAGUGAAAGACGGUCUUGCUGUCACUUAUAGAUGGAUCCGCGCUGCAUUAGCUAGUUGGUAAGGUAACGGCUUACCAAGGCAACGAUGCAUAGCCGACCUGAGAGGGUGAUCGGCCACACUGGAACUGAGACACGGUCCAG
rnacentral:rRNA from 1 species